UACGUAGGGUGCGAGCGUUAAUCGGAAUUACUGGGCGUAAAGCGUGCGCAGGCGGUUCGUUGUGUCGGCGGUGAAAGCCCCGGGCUCAACCUGGGAAUGGCCGUUGAAACUGGCGAACUGGAGUGUGGCAGAGGGGGGUGGAAUUCCGCGUGUAGCAGUGAAAUGCGCAGAUAUCAGGAGGAACACCAAUUGCGAAGGCAGCUCGCUGGGACGUAACUGACGCUGAGACGCGAAAGCGUGGGGAGCAAACAGG
rnacentral:rRNA from 1 species